GUAUAAUGGAGUUCGUAAUUUAUUGACGGAUUUUUCGAGAUUUUUCUUUCUUAGAAUUGGAAGAAAAAGAUUGAAAUGACUAUUCCAAAUUUCACCUAUACCUUUCUUUGAGAUUUCAACAAAAAAUUUUGCUUUUCUUAUGAAAUGUUUAUUAUUCGUUGAUAGAUCUAAAGCUUAUGCCGUAGAAGCUGACAUCAGGCUAUUGGCCUUUUAUCUGCAUCUUCCCUCGUAGAGUGGCGUCUUUUAUAAGAAAAGACUUUCUCAGUGGAACUAAAAAAAAAAAAAGAGUUUGAGCUCUUUUUUUUGGUUGACCUUUAGCCACGCGCGGCGGCUAUGCGCAUGUGUCCCAAAGUGACGUAUAUUUUUUGGUAAUGGGUAUACUCGAGAGAAAAGGUUUGGAAUUCGACCUCCCCUUAUACGCUCUAAAAAGGGGUCAUGGACUCCUUUUUUGUUUAGGAUCCCCUUUCUACAUUCAAUUUUUU
rnacentral:lncRNA from 1 species